GAUGAACGCUAGCUACAGGCUUAACACAUGCAAGUCGAGGGGCAGCACAAGGCAGCAAUGCUGAGGUGGCGACCGGCGCACGGGUGCGUAACGCGUAUCCAACCUUCCCGUUACUCUUGGAUAGCCUUCCGAAAGGGAGAUUAAUACAAGAUGGUGUUGAAAUUCCGCAUGUUAUUUCAACUAAAGAUUUAUCGGUAACGGAUAGGGAUGCGUGACAUUAGAUAGUAGGCGGGGUAACGGCCCACCUAGUCUACGAUGUCUAGGGGUUCUGAGAGGAAGGUCCCCCACACUGGAACUGAGAUACGGUCCAGACUCCUACGGGAGGCAGCAGUGGGGAAUAUUGGGCAAUGGGCGCAAGCCUGACCCAGCGACGCCGCGUGAGGGAAGAAGAUCUUCGGAUUGUAAACCUCUGUUGACAGGGACGAAAAAUGACGGUACCUGUCGAGGAAGCCACGGCUAACUACGUG
rnacentral:rRNA from 1 species